rfam:Rattus norvegicus chromosome 6, whole genome shotgun sequence.
GGGGAUUUAACUCAGUGGUAGAGUGCUUGCCUAGCAAGCACAAGGCUCUGGGUUCGGUCCCCAGCUCUG